rnacentral:rRNA from 1 species
UACGGAGGAUGCAAGCGUUAUCCGGAAUUAUUGGGCGUAAAGAGCUCGUAGGCGGUCUGUCACGUCGGCUGUGAAAAUCCGAGGCUCAACCUCGGACUUGCAGUGGGUACGGGCAGACUAGAGUGUGGUAGGGGAGACUGGAAUUCCUGGUGUAGCGGUGGAAUGCGCAGAUAUCAGGAGGAACACCGAGUGGCGAAGGCAGGUCUCUGGGC